rnacentral:lncRNA from 1 species
UGUGGAUAAUUUCAUUCAAAAGAAUGCAUUAUAGAACAACAUAUCAGUAGAACUUUUGUUAUCUAUUGGGACUCUUUUUAUAUCAUAAUUUGCUCUUUCAUUGAAAUGAUAAAUUAUCAUCAUGGAGAGAUUGAACUCCCCGCACAUCAUCAUCAUAAAAAGAAAUAACUCUAUCAUCUGUUUCCUCUUUGGGGUAUGCUUUAGGCUCUUUGUCUCC